GAUGAACGCUGGCGGCGUGCCUAAUACAUGCAAGUCGAGCGAACAGACGAGGAGCUUGCUCCUCUGACGUUAGCGGCGGACGGGUGAGUAACACGUGGAUAACCUACCUAUAAGACUGGGAUAACUUCGGGAAACCGGAGCUAAUACCGGAUAAUAUCUUGAACCGCAUGGUUCAAUAGUGAAAGACGGUUUUGCUGUCACUUAUAGAUGGAUCCGCGCCGCAUUAGCUAGUUGGUAAGGUAACGGCUUACCAAGGCAACGAUGCGUAGCCGACGUGAGAGGGUGAUCGGCCACACGGGAACUGAGACACGGUCCAGACUCCUACGAGAGGCAGCAGUAGGGAAUCUUCCGCAAUGGGCGAAAGCCUGACGGAGCAACGCCGCGUGAGUGAUGAAGGUCUUCGGAUCGUAAAACUCUGUUAUUAGGGAAGAACAGAUGUGUAAGUAACUAUGCACGUCUUGACGGUACCUAAUCAGAAAGCCACGGCUAACUACGUG
rnacentral:rRNA from 1 species